rnacentral:rRNA from 1 species
GAUGAACGCUGGCGGCGUGCCUAAUACAUGCAAGUAGAACGCUGAAGGAGGAGCUUGCUCUUCUGGAUGAGUUGCGAACGGGUGAGUAACGCGUAGGUAACCUGCCUGGUAGCGGGGGAUAACUAUUGGAAACGAUAGCUAAUACCGCAUGACAACAGUUAUUGCAUGAUAACUGUUUAAAAGGGGCAACUGCUCCACUACCAGAUGGACCUGCGUUGUAUUAGCUAGUUGGUGAGGUAACGGCUCACCAAGGCGACGAUACAUAGCCGACCUGAGAGGGGGAUCGGCCACACUGGGACUGAGACACGGCCCAGACUCCUACGGGAGGCAGCAGUAGGGAAACUUCGGCAAUGGACGGAAGUCUGACCGAGCAACGCCGCGCGAGGGAAGAAGGUUUUCGGAUCGUAAAGCUCUGUUGUAAGAGAAGAACGAGUGUGAGAGUGGAAAGUUCACACUGUGACGGUAUCUUACCAGAAAGGGACGGCUAACUACGUG